UCCACUGUUGCGUUUUUCAUACGUACGUAUACGCACGUAAAACCUUAAAUCCGUUUAAAUGUUACUUAUGAAAUACCCAAAUAAAUAAAGCAACAGAAUUUAGUGUUCCGCAAGUUUUAGUAUGCGUUUGUUAACUUAUUUGUAAAAUAUUUAAAAAAUAGAAGGAUUCAAAGUUUUACGUGCGUGUACGUGCGUACGAAAAACGCAACAGUGGA